UUCCACUCUCUCUAAAAUCCAUGGAAAAGUAUCCUCAGAUGAGGAUUAACAAACAAACAAAUACACAAAUAAUAAAAAGUGGGAUCUACCUUUGCACAGUGACUCCUUGGUCUGGUUUCCUCCCUGAUUUUAUUGUUUGGAUAAUGACUAUUAGCAUCUGAAGGAGCCUUGCUUUCCCCCUCCUUCUUUCCCCACCCUAUCCAGUCCCUUCCCUCACUGGAGGUCAGAUAUCCCUCAGCAAUAGAACAAGCCUGAGAAUUAUUCUCAGAUAGAAGACACCAUUAAGCUUAUUGUCACUAAGGUUUAAUAUUUGUUUUGCAUGUAAUUUUAUUUUCGAUUACUCUGUUUCAUGGGAACCAUUAUAGAAUUCUGAAAGGCAAAUUUAUAUGGCAACUAUUUCCUUUAGCAUGGCCAAAAUAAAAAUUUUAGGCUCAGAACAUCCUUGCAAAGGUUAACAUUAUUUGCAAAUCUUUAUAUAAUUUUAUUCAUAUUUUAAUGUGUUGUUUGUUUUAAUUGCUACAGGUGUGAAAAAAUUGAAAGAUGUGGAGUAUCUGGGGACAGUAGCCAGUGUUUGCCUUCAUUCAGACUACGCUGCUGCUCUUUUUGAAGGCAAAGUCCAGUUACACUUGAUAGAAAGUGAACUCUUGGAUACUCAAGAAGAGCGUGAGACUCGACUCUUCCCAGCAGUGGAUGAUAAGUGCCGGAUUUUAUGUCAUGCCUUAACUGGUGACUUCCUCAUCUACGGCACAGAUCUUUACUGAAGUAUAACUGGUAAUAAACUACACAAGUUUAAAUGAAGUUUUGACAUAUGUAUGCACCUGUGAAACACCAUCAACUCAAUCAGUAUAAUGGACGUAUUUAUCACCUUUAAAAGUUUUCUCAAUCCCUCCUUCCCACCCCUCCCCACUUACUGCUUUGUCACUAUAAAUUAGUUUGUAUUUUCUAGAGCUUUAUAUAAAUGGUUGUGGACUUGAUCCCCAGUUUGGGGUGUGUAGGAGGCAGCCAGUCAAUGAUUCUCUGUCAUCAUUGUUGUUUCUCUCUCUCUCUCUCUCUCUCUCUCUCUCUCUCUCUCUCUCUCUCUCUCUCUCCUCUCUCUCUGAAAUCAAUAAAAUAAUAUUUUUAAAGAAAAGCCAGCAGCUUUGUAAUUUUACCUGUGGAAAAUAAAAAUUUAAUUAAAAUUACCAACAUUUGGCAAUUCAUGGUAGCUGUACCUUGAGGUGGCGCUUUGUUGGCUGCAUAUACUGUCCUAAAGUCAAACAGUCCACAUCUGCCUCACGAAGUGCUAGAGAAAAAAAACAAAAACACAUUAGCAGAUGCUUCUGUGAUGCUAAAAUUAUACAUUUAAGGAUAAUUUUUCAGAAAGUAAUUUCACUAUAGAACAGUGUGAACUUUAUCCUGGCCUAUAAUCCUGAUGUUGGAAAGUAAGACUGUACCUAUUCAUUCAAAGGUAUUUAUGUGCCAGGAGAUAUAGUAAGGACUGAAAACAUAGGAAUGAUUAAGACAAUCAUGGGGGCUGAUAUAAAGAUGAAUGACUCCAGCCCUAACCCGUUUGGCUCAGUGAAUAGAGCGUUGGCCUGUGGACCAAAGGGUCCCAGGUUUGACUCUGGCCAAGGGCAUGUACCUUGGUUGCCGACACAUCUCCAGUAGGGGGUG